rnacentral:rRNA from 1 species
GAUGAACGCUGGCUGCGUGCCUAAUACAUGCAAGUCGAACGAAACUUCUUUAUCACCGAGUGCUUUCACUCACCGAUAAAGGGUUGAGUGGCUAACGGGUGAGUAACACGUGGGCAACCUGCCCAAAAGAGGGGGAUAACACUUGGAAACAGGGGCUAAUACCGCAUAACCAUAGUUAGCGCAUGUUAACUAUUUAAAAGAUGGAUAUACUACCGCUUUUUGAUGGUCCCGGGGCGCAUUAGCCAGUUGGUAGGGUAAAGGCUUACCCAGGCAAUGAUGCGUAGCCGAAUUGAGAUGUUGAGCGGACCCAUUGGGACUGAGCCACGGCCCAAACUCAUGCGGGAGGCAGCAGUAGGGAAUCUUCCACAAUGGGCGAAAGCCUAAUGGAGAAACGCCGAGUGGGUGAAGAAGGUCUUCGGAUAUUAAAACCCUGUUGUUAGAGAAGAAAGUGCGUGAGAGUAACUGUUCACGUUUCGACGGUAUCUAACCAGAAAGCCACGGCUAACUACGUG